rfam:Trichophyton benhamiae CBS 112371 contig00476.0, whole genome shotgun sequence.
GGCCGACUGGCCCAAUUGGUUAAGGCGCCUGACUACGAAUCAGGAGAUUUGCAGGUUCGAGUCCUGCGUCGGUCA